GUUUAGUUACGUAGCCAAUUGUGGAACUUUCUUGCUAAAAUUUUUAAGAAUACUAAUUGGGUUCAACCAGUUAGUUCUUAUUAAUUAUAACGAUUAUCAAUUAACAAUCAAUUCAGAACUGGCACGGACUUGGGGAAUCCGACUGUCUAAUUAAAACAAAGCAUUGUGAUGGCCCUAGCGGGUGUUGACACAAUGUGAUUUCUGCCCAGUGCUCUGAAUGUCAAAGUGAAGAAAUUCAAGUAAGCGCGGGUCAACGGCGGGAGUAACUAUGACUCUCUUAAGGACGAGUUUGAUCAACUUCGUCUUCGUACCGACCGUAAGGCACAAUGGAGUGAGGAAGAGUUGAGUAUGAUGGCAAGAAAAGAGAUCGAGCUCGCAGCAAAUGGAGAAAGAUAUCUAAAUAAGAAGCUAGCGGAAGUAUUUACGAACCGUAGCGUCGACGCUAUCAAGAAAUGUUGACAGAGGGAGAGAUAUAAGACCAAAAUCGAACUGCUAAAGGGUCAAGCUGUUCCUCUCCCAGAAGCAUUAGAAUCUGAAACCAUACAGCGCCGCCCUAGUAUACGCGAGCGAGAUCUCCUAGUAACGCCACCUAACACUCUCGGAACCACUCCAACCGAACUGUCGAACAGGGAAAUCCUGGCAGUACUACAGGGGUACCCACCUGUAGUAUGCAAUGACCAAUGGAGAGUUGAGGUUUUGCAAUCCAUCGUAGAUGGUGCGCAGGCCUCGGGUAAGGAAAUUACUCUUCAGCGCUUGUCUACUUACCUUAUGGAAGUAUUUCCCUCACAGAAUG
rnacentral:ncRNA from 1 species